rnacentral:rRNA from 2 species
UGGGAUAACUUCGGGAAACCGGAGCUAAUACCGGAUACGUUCUUUUCUCGCAUGAGAGAAGAUGGAAAGACGGUUUACGCUGUCACUUAUAGAUGGGCCCGCGGCGCAUUAGCUAGUUGGUGAGGUAAUGGCUCACCAAGGCGACGAUGCGUAGCCGACCUGAGAGGGUGAUCGGCCACACUGGGACUGAGACACGGCCCAGACUCCUACGGGAGGCAGCAGUAGGGAAUCUUCCGCAAUGGACGAAAGUCUGACGGAGCAACGCCGCGUGAACGAAGAAGGCCUUCGGGUCGUAAAGUUCUGUUGUUAGGGAAGAACAAGUACCAGAGUAACUGCUGGUACCUUGACGGUACCUAACCAGAAAGCCACGGCUAACUACGUGCCAGCAGCCGCGGUAAUACGUAGGUGGCAAGCGUUGUCCGGAAUUAUUGGGCGUAAAGCGCGCGCAGGUGGUUCCUUAAGUCUGAUGUGAAAGCCCACGGCUCAACCGUGGAGGGUCAUUGGAAACUGGGGAACUUGAGUGCAGAAGAGGAAAGUGGAAUUCCAAGUGUAGCGGUGAAAUGCGUAGAGAUUUGGAGGAACACCAGUGGCGAAGGCGACUUUCUGGUCUGUAACUGACACUG